rnacentral:lncRNA from 1 species
AUGCCUGGAGCAGUUGGACCGUUCACUGGAGGACCACACCAAGGACUUUAUCGAUCUGGCAUGUCUUACCCACUUCCCAGACCGUUCGCUCUGUUUUUUUUUCAUUACACCAGCCUGAGCGAGUGGUGUAAGGCACACCUACCAGCGAACAGUCCCAAAGAGGAUUUCGUGGAGUGGGUGCUGGAGAAUAAUGGAUCACCAUUCACCGUCUGCCCCACUGAGGAGGAUAUCUCCAGCCCCACUCCCGAACCAGAGACCAGCCAGCCGUCAUCCUGCUGCACGGAAUUACUGCCUGAGCCCACUGCAGACGGAGAGCCUGAGCCCGCCGCGACUGAGCCAAUCGUCGCCUGGGAGCCUGAGCCUCCAGCAUUGUCUGACCAAGUGCAUGAGCCGGCGACAUCGUCCGUUCCCGAGGGAGUUUUGGUGGAGAUCAAGGGCUUGGAGGAAAGCCCCGCCCACACUCCAACCACUGUGGGUGAGCUGCAACUGGUCACUGGACCAUACUAUGAGGAACUAAUUGACAUUUACCAGAGGGAUUUAAUAGAUUGGUUCGGGGAGGGAUUACCCUAUUUUCCUGUGUCUCCAUUGGUUCCGCCCAGCCCCGAAUCUACUGUGUCUCCAUUGGUUCCACCCAGCCCAAGUCCUGUGUUCCCUCCCAGCCUCCCUCUCCUGCCUCCUCUCAAACCAGCCAGUUCCUCAACCCUAUCUUCGCUGGUGCCUGUCAGCCCCUCAGCUCACCCUCAGUCAGCGCCAUCUGGGCGCUCUUAUUCGCCUCCGGACUUCCAGUCUCCAGCUCCGCCUUGGUGUGAGGAUCCCCUGUCUCCGCCUCCAGCCUCAGAGCCCUGGACUCCACCUUGGUCCUUUGACCCAUUGGCUCCGCCUUGGCACUUAGCUCCCUCGUCUCCACCGUGGCCCAUCAUCCCACCAGCUUCACCAGGCUCCCUCGUCCCUCUGGCUCCGCCUUGGUCAGUCGUCAACCAUCCGCCGGCUCGGGACUCCACUCCUCUGCCUUCGCCUUUUCACUACAUCCCUCUGGCUCUGUCAGGAUCCUCCUUUCCUCUGGCUCCACCUCCAUCCUCAGUCACUCCGGCUCCACAACGGUCUUAUGGAGAGCCUCUGCCUCGGUUGCCUGUGCCUUCAGCUCCGCCUUGGCCCUCUGGAUCCUCCGUGUAA